rnacentral:misc_RNA from 1 species
CGGUCUUGAACUCCUGGAGUAAAGCCUCAAACUCAGCUUGGUUCAAGUUCUUGUUGAUUUCAGUAUUGAAGAGCAUCUCCAUCUCAUCAAAAUCGGUCGUGUAGAACCUAGGAGUCAGAAGCGUCUCCUUAAUUGCAGCCUUGUUCGCGUUCUUCGAAGGCUUGGGAGGCGAUUGAGAGGAAGUUGCAGACAUUUUAAUGGCGGUGAAUUUGGAGUAAGAGAAUGGAAUUGCUCUCGUUCUAGGGCUUCCGAAUUCAGGAGUUCUAGUGCAGAACUUCGACAUAGGCUUCACGAGAGCCAUCUCGGCGGAGGCAGCCAUGGAUGGAGGAAGCUUCCUUGGAGGUGCUGCAAUGGCGG